rnacentral:rRNA from 1 species
UGUCUCCUACGGGAGGCAGCAGUGAGGAAUAUUGGUCAAUGGUCGGGAGACUGAACCAGCCACGCCGCGUGAGGGAUGAAGGAACAGAGUAUCGUAAACCUCUUUUGUCAGGGAACAAAGGCGGGGACGUGUCCCCGGAUGAGGGUACCUGAAGAAAAAGCAUCGGCUAACUCCGUGCCAGCAGCCGCGGUAAUACGGAGGAUGCGAGCGUUAUCCGGAUUUAUUGGGUUUAAAGGGUGCGCAG